GGCAUGCUUAAUACAAGCAAGUCGAACGAUGCUUUCGGGCAUAGUGGCGCACGGGUGAGUAACGCGUGGGAACCUGCCUCUUGGUUUGGAAUAACCGCGAGAAACUGCGGCUAAUACCGGAUACGUCGGUGCCCUGUGGUGGGGUGCUGGGAAAGAUUUAUCGCCGAGAGAGGGGCCCGCGUCUGAUUAGGUAGUUGGUGAGGUAACGGCCCACCAAGCCUAUGAUCGGUAGCUGGUCUGAGAGGAUGAUCAGCCACAUUGGGACUGAGACACGGCCCAGACUCCUACGGGAGGCAGCAGUGGGGAAUAUUGGACAAUGGGCGCAAGCCUGAUCCAGCAAUGCCGCGUGAGUGAUGAAGGCCUUAGGGUUGUAAAGCUCUUUCGCACGCGACGAUGAUGACGGUAGCGNGUANAAAGAAAGCCCCGGGCUAACUCGUGCCAGGACG
rnacentral:rRNA from 1 species